GUGGGGAAUAUUGGACAAUGGGCGAAAGCCUGAUCCAGCCAUGCCGCGUGUGUGAAGAAGGUCUUCGGAUUGUAAAGCACUUUAAGUUGGGAGGAAGGGCAGUAAGUUAAUACCUUGCUGUUUUGACGUUACCGACAGAAUAAGCACCGGCUAACUUCGUGCCAGCAGCCGCGGUAAUACGAAGGGUGCAAGCGUUAAUCGGAAUUACUGGGCGUGAAGCGCGCGUAGGUGGUUUUGUAAGUUGGAGGUGAAAUCCCCGGGCUCAACCUGGGAACUGCCUCCAAAACUGCAUGACUAGAGUACGGUAGAGGGUAGUGGAAUUUCCUGUGUAGCGGUGAAAUGCGUAGAUAUAGGAAGGAACACCAGUGGCGAAGGCGACUACCUGGACUGAUACUGACACUGAGGUGCGAAAGCGUGGGGAGCAAACAGGAUUAGAAACCCGGGUAGUCC
rnacentral:rRNA from 1 species